GUAGGGUGCAAGCGUUAAUCGGAAUUACUGGGCGUAAAGCGUGCGCAGGCGGGUUUGUAAGUCUGACGUGAAAUCCCCGGGGCUCAACCUGGGAAUUGCGUUGGAGACUGCAAGGCUGGAGUCUGGCAGAGGGGGGUAGAAUUCCACGUGUAGCAGUGAAAUGCGUAGAGAUGUGGAGGAACACCGAUGGCGAAGGCAGCCCCCUGGGUCAAGACUGACGCUCAUGCACGAAAGCGUGGGGAGCAAACAGGAUUAGAUACCCUGGUAGUCCACGCCCUAAACGAUGUCUACUAGUUGUCGGGUCUUAAUUGACUUGGUAACGCAGCUAACGCGUGAAGUAGACCGCCUGGGGAGUACGGUCGCAAGAUUA
rnacentral:rRNA from 1 species